rnacentral:rRNA from 1 species
AGUUGAUCCUGGCUCAGGAUGAACGCUGGCGGCGUGCCUAACACAUGCAAGUCGAACGGAAGGUAAGCGCUUCGGAGACUUCGGUCAAUGUUGCUUAUCUUAGUGGCGGACGGGUGAGUAACGCGUGGAUAACCUGCCUCACACAGGGGGAUAACAGUUAGAAAUGACUGCUAAUACCGCAUAAGCGCACAGUCUCGCAUGGGACAGUGUGAAAAACCGAGGUGGUGUGAGAUGGAUCCGCGUCUGAUUAGCCAGUUGGCGGGGUAACGGCCCACCAAAGCGACGAUCAGUAGCCGGCCUGAGAGGGUGAACGGCCACAUUGGGACUGAGACACGGCCCAGACUCCUACGGGAGGCAGCAGUGGGGGAUAUUGCACAAUGGGCGGAAGCCUGAUGCAGCAACGCCGCGUGAGGGAAGACGGUUUUCGGAUUGUAAACCUCUGUCUUUGGUGAAGAAGAAAGUGACGGUAGCCGAGGAGGAAGCCACGGCUAACUACGUGCCAGCCGCUGC